rnacentral:rRNA from 1 species
AUGUCCGUGUUUGAUCUUAAUUUGGUGAAGGAGAUUUGUGGUGCUUCUUUCUCGGGAUUUGCCUAUUCCCCAUCUGAUGGAGCAAGUGGAGGGUUGCUAAUAGCCUGGGCAGAUGACGUUGUGGUUUCCUCUAUCCAAUGUUCCAAAAUUUUCAACUCUGCUAUAUGUGAAAGCAGAGCAAACGGGUUAGUUUGGCAGAUGGUUAACGUCUAUGGCCCCCAAUUUUUCUCUGACAAGAUGGACUUUCUUGCUGACCUGCAGCAAAUUGGAUUAACUGCCCUGGCCCGCUCUUGUUCUUGGCGAUUUCAAUAUGAUUGCUGCAGCUAA